GUUUUUAGCAACCCAGAAACUUCAGAUUUUCUCCAAGAGUUCCAGUGCACUUCAGUCCUUCAACCUCCACUUUCAAGUCCAGUUCUUCCACCAACUUAUCACAAGUUCGUUUCUCCUGCAUUCUCCUACUUUUUGACUUGUUUUUAUGCUUUAGAUUGUAAUAUGCACUUGUUUUUUUAACUCGAUGCAUACCGAAAAAAACAUAUUUAAACUACGUUCAUAUAUAUUAUAAUAUUUUAUUUUAUAAAUCUCAAUUUAAUAAAUUUUACAUUAUUUUAUUGUGUUGGACAACUUAUAAUACAAGUUUUGUAACUAAUUAAUUUGUCACGUGUUCUUCUUCUCGUCCUAUCAUUGAAAUCAAAACGUCUGAAAAGUAUAAAUGAAAGUGUGAGAGAAAUAAUAAGAGUAAAAAUGAAAUAAGAAUAAAAUUAUAGGCUUUAAAAGAAACAAAAUAUUUUCAACUUAACUAUUAAUAGCAGUGACAAAAGUCAUUAAAGCAUCUCGCAAGGGAAAGUUUUAUGCACAUAGUCCUUGGACAAUCAAAGUCAGAACUGCAACUUUUCUUCAAAUAGAAUUCUGAGUUCCAACUAUGCGAGUUCCACUCCUCACCUACUGUAAUGUGAAACAAGUAUAAUAAAAUGUUAUUAAAAGAUGAUAAAAUAUUGUGUAUAAGGUAAAUAAGAGAAUUUGAAAAGGAUGAUAUAGGGGAAUUACCAAUACUGGUUACAACAAGAAAUAGUGAAAGAAAGAUGGACAUAGUAUAAACAAACUUCAAAGUUUCACCCAUAUUUUUCCUCCUUU
rnacentral:lncRNA from 1 species